rnacentral:rRNA from 1 species
CCUACGGGUGGCAGCAGUGGGGAAUAUUGCGCAAUGGGCGAAAGCCUGACGCAGCGACGCCGCGUGAGGGAUGAAGGUCUUCGGAUCGUAAACCUCUGUCAGCAGGGAAGAACGGUCACUGUGCUAAUCAGCAGUGAAUUUACGGUACCAUAGGAGGAAGCCCCGGCUAACUACGUGCCAGCAGCCGCGGGAAUACGUAGGGGGCGAGCGUUGUCCGGAAUUACUGGGCGUAAAGAGAGCGUAGGCGGCACUACAAGUCUCCUGGGAAAUACCCGGGCUUAACUUGGGGGUUGCAUGGGAAACUGUAGAGCUUGAGUACAGGAGAGGCAAGCGGAAUUCCUAGUGUAGCGGUGAAAUGCAUAGAUAUUAGGAGGAACACCAGUGGCGAAGGCGGCUUGCUGGACUGAAACUGACGCUGAGGCUCGAAAGCGUGGGGAGCAAACAGGAUUAGAUACCCCUGUAGUC